UACGGGGGGGAGCAAGCGUUGUUCGGAUUUACUGGGCGUAAAGGGCGCGUAGGCGGUCAGCACAAGUCAGUUGUGAAAUCUCCGGGCUUAACUCGGAAAGGUCAACUGAUACUGUGCGACUAGAGUGCAGAAGGGGCAACUGGGAAUUCUCGGUGUAGCGGUGAAAUGCGUAGAUAUCGAGAGGAACACCUGCGGCGAAGGCGGGUUGCUGGGCUGACACUGACGCUGAUGCGCGAAAGCCAGGGGAGCGAAGCGGG
rnacentral:rRNA from 1 species